rnacentral:lncRNA from 1 species
CAGUUGGUAGUAAAAGUGAAUAUACAUUGUAUAUUGUAUAAAACAAUGAUUUAAGUUGAUUCAACUACUAUUCUGGACAAAGAAAGAUAACUCCAAUUGAAAAUUUCUUGCUAUUGCGCAAUAUUGUGCAAUUAGAUAUUUCUUGCUAUUGCGCAAUAUUGUGCAAUUAGAUAUUUCUUGCUAUUGUGCAAUACUGUGCAAUUGAAAAUACUUGCUAUUGCACAAUACUGUGCAAUUGAAGAUUUC